AUGCCCCAGGAGGCUGCUGCAGAGCCACCUGUUCCGGACAGGGGUCUCAACCGAAGGAUAGUUGUGCUCACCACUCUUGCUGCGGUGGGCCUUUGGAUCUCAGAGGCUCCAGCUUGGCGGGUUUUCUCUCAAAGAUCUUGCUGCCAAUGCUGUGCCAUACGAAGAGUAUGUGAACAACUAAGCAUGAUCCAUUGCAGUUCAGAUCAUGGUAGGGUUACAACCCAUUGCAAUGGAAAAAUUUGCAAUAGAUCCAAGAAAAUUCAUCAGAACUGCACACAAUUGCAGCCAUGCUUCGUUUCGUCAAACUUCAUCAGAAUUUUCUAUGGAGCAUCUCGUUCCCUCUGCAAAUUGCUCAAGGCCGAAGCAUCUCUCUCUCUCUCUCAAUCCCUCUCAUCAGAAGCAGCCGAUCUGUACGACGCGCCUCUCUCUGUCUCUCUCUCACACACGCACACGCACAUAGGCGAAGCCUCCUCGCCGCCCCGGCGACCCCGCGCAUCGACCUCCGGCCGCCUGCCCCGGCCGCUGACGAACAAGAAAAAGCGGGCACGAAUCAGGCAUAAGCAUCAGCAUCAGCGUGGACGUACCAAGAUUUGGAGGGGACCUGGCGGUUGCUCCGGAGGCGGGGGUGGCCGGGAGGCGGAGGAGAGCUCGCGGAGGGCGUCAGCGGCGAGGAGCAGGCCAUCGUCGAGGAGGUGGCGACGGAGAAGCGUUAGGUGGGCGAAGCAGCCGCCGCCGCCGCGGCCGCUGCCAUCGUGGCGGCGUGACCGCUUGGGUCCGUUACACACGACGCGGUCAGCCCAACGGCAUUUUGCGGGCUAUUUUUGCGGGGCGGCGUGGCGGCCGAGCGGGAUGUCCUGCGCCGCUUGCACUCUGAACUUCGAGGACGGCCGCCCUAACCAAGCCGAGGUUUGCCUAGAACUCGAGCCGCCGCCCAUCUUUCCGUGCCGCAUCACCCCGCCUGAGUACAGGAACCCGCCGGCUAUACGCGUUGCCUCUUACGCCAUGGUUGGCUCCCAUAUUUUGCUCUCCGUGCAACUGGACAAUGUGACCAGCCCUGACAAGGUUGCCAGGAAAUACAGGAAAUACAUGGGAACCUGCGGGUACGACGCGGUGCCCCUCCGCGACCAACUCUUUCUUGCCCGCUCCAAAGAGAGGGACGACGCUUAUGCAGUGUACUACAUGCAUGUCGGUCAGUCAACAUUUGGGACCAGCGAGCUGUCCAUUAUUGAGGUUCCGCUGGUGGUGCCAAAGGCCCGACCUGUUCUGGGGGAACUUCUCUUCCCUUUGGGAAGGGUCCGGUUCUCUUCUGUUCACUUUCGAUCUGUCGAUGCUGAGCCGGAGUCCAAGUUGGGCAAACCAAGUGUUGUACAUGGCACCUACUCUAUUGUGAAAGAAAAUUUCGAUGAUGCUAUAAUAAUGAAGCAGCAGCGGCAAGUUUACAAAGUAGCUGAUCGGUUGUGUCCAUUGGCUCAUCCUUUCCCUGUGGUUGCUGCUUUCGCAAUGUAA
rnacentral:rRNA from 1 species